rnacentral:misc_RNA from 1 species
GAAAUGCGAUACGUAAUGUGAAUUGCAGAAUUCAGUGAAUCAUCAAACUCUUGAACGCAUAUUGCACUCGAGAGGUCAUUCGCUCGAGUACGCCUGUCUGAGGAUCAGUAACAAACCUCAACCAGUUUGUCUGGUUGGAAAAUGGCGGUCUUGCCAGGAUCGGGCAUGUCGGCUGAAACGAUGGCAUAUUGCAGAGGUCUUGUGGCAGCCCUCGCUUAUGUGAUGUGUUAGGCCAGCAGGUUUUCAAAACAUCACAGGAGGGAAUGCAAACAAAGCCUUUGCAUGUGCAUGAGAAAGGGUUUGAGUAUCUGAGAAGUCAACCAUUGAUCUCAAAUCAGGCGAGGGUACCUGCUGAAUUUAA